rnacentral:rRNA from 1 species
CACGUAGGGGGCGAGCGUUGUCCGGAUUUAUUGGGCGUAAAGAGCGUGUAGGCGGUUAGGUAGGUCCGUUGUGAAAACUCGAGGCUCAACCUCGAGACGCCGAUGGAAACCAUCUGACUAGAGUCCGGAAGAGGAGAGUGGAAUUCCUGGUGUAGCGGUGAAAUGCGCAGAUAUCAGGAAGAACACCCGUGGCUAAGGCGGCUCUCUAGUACGGUACUGACGCUGAGACGCGAAAGCGUGGGGAGCGAACAGG